AGAGUUUGAUCCUGGCUCAGGACGAACGCUGGCGGCGUGCUUAACACAUGCAAGUCGAACGGAAAGGCCCUUCGGGGUACUCGAGUGGCGAACGGGUGAGUAACACGUGGGUGAUCUGCCCUGCACUUUGGGAUAAGCCUGGGAAACUGGGUCUAAUACCGGAUAGGACUACGGCCUGCAUGGGUUGUGGUGGAAAGCUUUUGCGGUGUGGGAUGGGCCCGCGGCCUAUCAGCUUGUUGGUGGGGUGAUGGCCUACCAAGGCGACGACGGGUAGCCGGCCUGAGAGGGUGUCCGGCCACACUGGGACUGAGAUACGGCCCAGACUCCUACGGGAGGCAGCAGUGGGGAAUAUUGCACAAUGGGCGCAAGCCUGAUGCAGCGACGCCGCGUGAGGGAUGACGGCCUUCGGGUUGUAAACCUCUUUCAGUAGGGACGAAGCGCAAGUGACGGUACCUAUAGAAGAAGCACCGGCCAACUACGUGCCAGCAGCCGCGGUAAUACGUAGGGUGCGAGCGUUGUCCGGAAUUACUGGGCGUAAAGAGCUCGUAGGUGGUUUGUCGCGUUGUUCGUGAAAACUCACAGCUCAACUGUGGGCGUGCGGGCGAUACGGGCAGACUGGAGUACUGCAGGGGAGACUGGAAUUCCUGGUGUAGCGGUGGAAUGCGCAGAUAUCAGGAGGAACACCGGUGGCGAAGGCGGGUCUCUGGGCAGUAACUGACGCUGAGGAGCGAAAGCGUGGGGAGCGAACAGGAUUAGAUACCCCGGUAGUCC
rnacentral:rRNA from 1 species